rnacentral:rRNA from 1 species
GGCGGCGUGCUUAACACAUGCAAGUCGAACGGUGAAGCAGGAGCUUGCUCUUGUGGAUCAGUGGCGAACGGGUGAGUAACACGUGAGCAACCUGCCCCGGACUCUGGGAUAAGCGCUGGACGGCGUCUAAUACUGGAUAUGUGACGUGACCACAUGGUCUGCGUUUGGAAAGAUUUUUCGGUUGGGGAUGGGCUCGCGGCCUAUCAGCUUGUUGGUGAGGUAAUGGCUCACCAAGGCGUCGACGGGUAGCCGGCCUGAGAGGGUGACCGGCCACACUGGGACUGAGACACGGCCCAGACUCCUACGGGAGGCAGCAGUGGGGAAUAUUGCACAAUGGGCGGAAGCCUGAUGCAGCAACGCUGACGGUACCUGCAGAAAAAGCGCCGGCUAACUACGUGCCAGCAGCCGCGGUAAUACGUAGGGCGCAAGCGUUAUCCGGAAUUAUUGGGCGUAAAGAGCUCGUAGGCGGUUUGUCGCGUCUGCUGUGAAAUCUGGGGGCUCAACCCCCAGCCUGCAGUGGGUACGGGCAGACUAGAGUGC